rnacentral:rRNA from 1 species
UGGUAAUGCCGGAUGCUCCGACUCCUCGCAUGGGGUGUCGGGAAAGAUUUCAUCGGUAUGGGAUGGGGUCGCGUCCUAUCAGGUAGUCGGCGGGGUAACGGCCCACCGAGCCUACGACGGGUAGCCGGCCUGAGAGGGCGACCGGCCACAUUGGGACUGAGAUACGGCCCAGACUCCUACGGGAGGCAGCAGUGGGGAAUAUUGCACAAUGGGCGCAAGCCUGAUGCAGCGACGCCGCGUGCGGGAUGACGGCCUUCGGGUUGUAAACCGCUUUUGAUCGGGAGCAAGCCUUCGGGUGAGUGUACCUUUCGAAUAAGCACCGGCUAACUACGUGCCAGCAGCCGCGGUAAUACGUAGGGUGCAAGCGUUAUCCGGAAUUAUUGGGCGUAAAGGGCUCGUAGGCGGUUCGUCGCGUCCGGUGUGAAAGUCCAUCGCUUAACGGUGGAUCUGCGCCGGGUACGGGCGGGCUGGAGUGCGGUAGGGGAGACUGGAAUUCCCGGUGUAACGGUGGAAUGUGUAGAUAUCGGAAAAAAACACCA